AAAUGAGAAGCAAUAAUUGCAUUUAGUUUCGACCUAAAUUUAGGGUUUACCCCCCAUUUA
rnacentral:tRNA from 1 species